UACGGGGGGGGCAAGCGUUGUUCGGAAUUACUGGGCGUAAAGGGCUCGUAGGCGGCCAACUAAGUCGGAUGUGAAAUCCCCAGGCUUAACCUGGGAACUGCAUCCGAUACUGGAUGGCUUGAAUUCGGGAGAGGAUGCAGAAUUCCAGGUGUAGCGGUGAAAUGCGUAGAUAUCUGGAGGAAUACCGGUGGCGAAGGCGGCAUCCUGGACCGAGAUUGACGCUGAUGAGCGAAAGCUAGGGGAGC
rnacentral:rRNA from 1 species